ACUCCCUCCGUCCCGAUUUAUAAGAGAAAAAAAAAAAACACACUUAUUAAGAAAUGCAUUUAAUAUUCUAAAAUCUAUCAAAAACAUAAUUUUGUUUCCAAAAGUACCCCUAUUAACUUAUUCCAUAAAAAAGCAAAAUCAUUUAAUAUCCUACUCCUAAUUUCUAAGUACCCCCCUAAUAAUUAAUUGUUUUGGAAAAUAUAACAAGGGGUAUUUUUGGAACUAUAAAAUUAAAUUGGUCAAAUUUGAGUAUUUUCCCUUAUAAUUUGGGACAAAAAAAAUGGUCUUUUUUCCCUUAUAAAUCGGGACGGAGGGAGUAAUUU
rnacentral:lncRNA from 1 species